rnacentral:tRNA from 1 species
AUUCAAAUAGCUUAUAAUUAGAGCAUAACAUUGAAGCUGUUAUGGAGAUUUGUUUAAAUCUUUGAAUA